CCCUUAGAUGUCCGGGGCCGCACGCGCGCUACACUGAAGGAACCAGCGUGGCUUUCUCCCUGACCCGAAAGGGUUGGGAAACCCGUUGAAUCUCCUUCGUGAUAGGGAUUGGGGCUUGAAAUUGUUCCCCAUGAACGAGGAAUUCCCAGUAAGCGCGAGUCAUAAGCUCGCGUUGAUUACGUCCCUGCCCUUUGUACACACCGCCCGUCGCUACUACCGAUUGAACGGUUUAGUGAGGGCCUCGGAUUGGUCUCGGCCCGCUCUUUACCGGGCGGCGCCGUUGGUCGAGAAGACGCUCGAACUUGAUCGUUUAGAGGAAGUAAAAGUCGUAACA
rnacentral:rRNA from 1 species